rnacentral:rRNA from 1 species
UACGUAGGGCGCAAGCGUUGUCCGGAAUUACUGGGCGUAAAGCGCGUGUAGGCUGCUCUGCAAGUCGGGUGUGAAAGCCCCGGGCUCAACCUGGGAAGUGCACUCGAAACUGCAGAGCUCGAGUCCUGGAGAGGAAGGCGGAAUUCUCGGUGUAGAGGUGAAAUUCGUAGAUAUCGAGAGGAACACCGGUGGCGAAGGCGGCCUUCUGGACAGUGACUGACGCUGAGACGCGAAAGCGUGGGGAGCAAACAGG